rnacentral:rRNA from 1 species
AUUCCGUACGGGACGCAGCAGUGAGGAAUAUUGGUCAAUGGGCGCGAGCCUGAACCAGCCAAGUAGCGUGAAGGAUGACUGCCCUACGGGUUGUAAACUUCUUUUAUAAAGGGAUAAAGUGAGGCACGUGUGCCUUUUUGUAUGUACUUUAUGAAUAAGGAUCGGCUAACUCCGUGCCAGCAGCCGCGGUAAUACGGAGGAUCCGAGCGUUAUCCGGGUUUAUUGGGUUUAGAGGGAGCGUAGAUGGGUUGUUAAGUCAGUUGUGAAAGUUUGCGGCGCAACCGUAAAAUUGCAAUUGAUACUGG